rnacentral:rRNA from 1 species
UCCCGCCGCCCCCGCCCGCUCCUACGGGAGGCAGCAGUGGGGAAUAUUGCACAAUGGGCGAAAGCCUGAUGCAGCAACGCCGCGUGAGCGAUGAAGGCCUUCGGGUCGUAAAGCUCUGUCAGCAGGGAAGAAGAUGACGGUACCUGACCAAGAAGCCCCGGCUAACUACGUGCCAGCAGCCGCGGUAAUACA